rnacentral:lncRNA from 1 species
UUUACCCAUACCCAACAGCCUUAUUGGAAGGACUAUACACAAUUUUCAUGGCCUUUAAACCAAGAGAAGACAUACCUGAGCAAUUGAACCAGAAGGGAUGAGCCCCACCUGGAUCUGAUGCAGAUUAAAAUAUCUUGGACCUUGGGCCUGAGCUUGGAAUGGAAUGAGACCUUUGAGGAUCUUAGUGGGGAGUAAGUAUGUUUUGCAAAAGGGAGAAAUGGAAAUAAUUUGUGCUGAGAAGUUGGACUAUGGCAGCUUGAGGUCAGUGAAGACAUCACUACACAAGCUUUGGUACUCCUGCCAUUAAGACAUAAAGACAGUUUUCUUUCCCUUUAAAUCAAAACAGGCUUGGAAUGUUUUAACCAAUAGAGUAUGCCAGAAGUGACCCAUAGAAUGUGACGGAAGUGACCUCAUGUGACUUUUGAGCCUAGAUCAUAAAAAACCAUGAAGCUUAUGCCAUGUUCCAUGGGUUGUACCAAUAAGAGCCCUGAUCUACUAGAUAAGCCUCCUGGGGAUGCCAUGUACUUUUUUCUUAUACGUUACAAUUGUCUUAAGGAAAGGGUGAUGCCAAUUAUAACAUGACACAGCGAUUUUUGAAAAUGUUUUGCAC